rnacentral:rRNA from 1 species
ACUCUCGGCAACGGAUAUCUCGGCUCACGCAUCGAUGAAGAACGUAGCAAAAUGCGAUACUUGGUGUGAAUUGCAGAAUCCCGUGAACCAUCGAGUUUUUGAACGCAAGUUGCGCCCAAAGCCUUUUGGCUGAGGGCACGUCUGCCUGGGCGUCACACAUCGUGUCGC